CGACUACCAGAACCUAAGCAGCCUUCCUGCUGGGUUUGUACGACCCCUGCUGCCGCCUGCCCCCUGGUGCUGGGGGAUCCUGGGUUCGAUGCGCUGUCCGCUUCCAGCUAGGGGUGUGAUCCUGGAACAAGCCACCGUCUCUGAGCUCCAAUAAAUUCACCAAUAAACUCUGGGACGUAUCCUGACUCUCCUGGGCAGAGAAUAGGAAGCUGAAGAAAAAAGCAGAGAAACUCGGAGCUGAGCCCUGUUGGGUUCGGAAAGAAAUACCCAUAUUUCAGUGCUUGUGGAGUUGUGGCCACAGUAAGCCACCACCAGAGUGAACACCGUGAGUUCAGUGAUUCUCGCGUGACGGGAAAUCUUCGAAAGCUUCAGGAACUCAGGCUGACAAGAGAAAGAGAAGCUCCUCCCCCCAUUGCCUUGGCAUCCCACCAGAUCCAGCUACCCUGAAACUUCACAUCUCGUUGCAUGGGGACCUCCACAAAACAUGAAAGGAGGAAGGACCUCAUAAAGUUUUCC